CUGUAGAGUUGUUGAGUCGGGAAAAAUAGCGGAGGUGAUUGUUGCAGUCAUGUUAUCAGUAGCGGGUCCCAGCAAGAAAGGAGCAGGCUUGGAAAAUUGUGAAGGAAGAAAGCUGGCAUACCUGGUGAGGAGGCAGGUGUCACGUUACAAGACAGAUGGAAGGGAGACGAUGGCCACUCCAAGAAAAAACAACAACAACAAGAAAGUACUGUAGCUUAUGAGAGGAAAUAAAUGUUCAAGGGCAUAAUUACUAGGGGUCGGACUCGAUACAUGAUUAUUUGAAAACUAUCUAUUGAGGCGACUGGACCAAACUGGCGGCUUUCCAGCUAGCCUGCUGCUACUUGGCCUGCUGCCUACCUAGCCGCUCUAGCAUAACGCUGUGUUGGAUCAACUUUCUCCCAUUAGAUCUGCCGCCGUGCCGCGGUCGCCUUCUCCAGCGAUGGCUCCUUCCGGCUUCCAUGGUGGCGCUUCAAUG